AGAUUGAACGCUGGCGGCAUGCCUAACACAUGCAAGUCGAACGGGAGUAGCAAUACUCUAGUGGCGGACGGGUGAGGAAUACGUAGGAAUUUGCCCUUAAGUGGGGGAUAACCCGGGGAAACCCGGAUUAAUACCGCAUGACCUCGAAAGAGCAAAGUGGGGGAUCGCAAGACCUCACGCUUUUGGAGAAGCCUACGUCGGAUUAGCUAGUUGGUGAGGUAAUGGCUCACCAAGGCGACGAUCCGUAACUGGUCUGAGAGGAUGAUCAGUCACACCGGAACUGAGACACGGUCCGGACUCCGUACGGGAGGCAGCAGUGGGGAAUAUUGGACAAGUGGGCGCAAGCCUGAUCCAGCAAUGCCGCGUGUGUAGAAGGAAGGCCGUUUCGGGUUAGUAAAGCGUACGUUUAAGGUUAGGGAAAGUAAAAACGUCGACUACUAACACAGUAGAGUC
rnacentral:rRNA from 1 species